AGCUAAAUGCGGAAGAGAUAAGUGCUGAAAGCAUCUAAGCACGAAACUUGCCCCGAGAUGAGUUCUCCCUGAGACUUAAAGUCUCCUGAAGGAACGUUGAAGACGACGACGUUGAUAGGUCGGGUGUGUAAGCGCAGCGAUGCGUUGAGCUAACCGAUACUAAUGAACCGUGAGGCUUAACCUU
rnacentral:rRNA from 1 species